rnacentral:rRNA from 1 species
AGAGUUUGAUCAUGGCUCAGAACGAACGCUGGCGGCAGGCUUAACACAUGCAAGUCGAACGAGUAAGAGCCGUAGCAAUACGGAGUUCUGCUAGUGGCGCACGGGUGAGUAACGCGUGGGAAUAUGCCCUUUAGUACGGAAUAACAGUUGGAAACGACUGCUAAUACCGUAUACGCCCUUCGGGGGAAAGAUUUAUCGCUAAAGGAUUAGCCCGCGUGAGAUUAGGUAGUUGGUGGGGUAAUGGCCUACCAAGCCUACGAUCUCUAGCCGGUCUGAGAGGACGAUCGGCCACACUGGAACUGAGACACGGUCCAGACUCCUACGGGAGGCAGCAGUGGGGAAUAUUGGACAAUGGGCGAAAGCCUGAUCCAGCCAUGCCGCGUGAGUGAUGAAGGCCUUAGGGUUGUAAAGCUCUUUUGUCAGGGAAGAUAUUGACGGUACCUGAAGAAUAAGCACCGGCUAACUUCGUGCCAGCAGCCGCGGUAAUACGAAGGGUGCUAGCGUUGUUCGGAAUUACUGGGCGUAAAGCGCGCGCAGGCGGUCUAUCAAGUCAGAGGUGAAAUGCCGAAGCUCAACUUCGGAACUGCCUUUGAAACUGUUAGACUAGAAUAUGGGAGGGGAUAGCGGAAUUCCUAAUGUAGAGGUGAAAUUCGUAGAUAUUAGGAGGAACACCGGUGGCGAAGGCGGCUAUCUGGCCCAUUAUUGACGCUGAGGCGCGAAAGCGUGGGGAUCAAACAGGAUUAGAUACCCUGGUAGUCCACGCUGUAAACGAUGAGUGCUAGCUGUUGGGACCUUAGGUCUCAGUGGCGCAGCUAACGCAUUAAGCACUCCGCCUGGGGAGUACGGUCGCAAGAUUAAAACUCAAAGGAAUUGACGGGGACCCGCACAAGCGGUGGAGCAUGUGGUUUAAUUCGAGGCAACGCGAAGAACCUUACCAGGACUUGACAUGUCCAGUUUGGAUUUCAGAAAUGAUUUCCUUCAGUUUGGCUGGCUGGAACACAGGUGCUGCAUGGCUGUCGUCAGCUCGUGUCGUGAGAUGUUGGGUUAAGUCCCGCAACGAGCGCAACCCUCAUCUUUAGUUGCUACCAUUUAGUUGAGCACUCUAAAGAAACUGCCGGUGAUAAGCCGGAGGAAGGUGGGGAUGACGUCAAGUCUUCAUGGCCCUUAUGUCCUGGGCUACACACGUGCUACAAUGGCAGUGACAAUGCGCCGCUACCUCGCGAGGGGAAGCUAAUCGCAAAAAGCUGUCUCAGUUCGGAUUGUACUCUGCAACUCGAGUACAUGAAGUUGGAAUCGCUAGUAAUCGCGCAUCAGCAUGGCGCGGUGAAUACGUUCCCGGGUCUUGUACACACCGCCCGUCACACCAUGGGAGUUGGUUCUACCUUAAGCUGCUGUGCUAACCGCAAGGAGGCAGGCAACCACGGUAGGGUCAGUGACUGGGGUGAAGUCGUAACAAGGUA